rnacentral:piRNA from 1 species
UAUCCUUGGCGUCGGGCCUAU